GGGGGCGCGCGCAUUCACAGCACGCGGGCGGGCUGCUGUCAUUUCACCGCAGUUGUGUUUGGAUCUGGAGAGGAAAUUAAGGAAAUACCAACGAAGAAAAAAAAAAGAAAAAAAGGAAGAAGAAGAAGGUCGCCGCAUUAUUAAAAAAAUAAAAAUGGAGCAUUCGUCCAGCAACCACCGGUUUCGGUCCACAAUCUUCAACCACGAUGAUGAGCUGUUUAUUGACAGUCUGGGUCUCUGUCGUCAUCCCACUCCCUCUUCUUCCACCCCUGCUGCUCCGUGUCUGCAGCGGAGCACCAGCCGGUAGAGCCGGCGAUGCAGCUCGUGUCCACGCGCAGCGUUACGUUAUUGCCGACUCACCUGGGGGGGCUGAGCUGCUCUGCUGCUGCUGUGGGGUUUAUUUGUCUCGGCCAUCUGCAGAAUGGUAAGUGCAGUGUGCCGUCGGCGUUGUGGUGAGACGAGGGUGAAGCUGUCUUUUUUUUUUUUUUU
ensembl:lncRNA